GAGUCCGGGUUGGAGUGCAAUGACGUGAUCUCGGCUCACCGCAACCUUUGCCUCGUGGGUUCAAGCAAUUCUCUUGCCUCAGCCUCUCAAGUAGCUGCGAAUACAGCUGUGCGCCACCACGCCUGGCUAAUUUUUGUAUUAUUAGUAGAGACGGGGGUUUCACCAUGUUGGCCGUGCUAGUCUCAAACUCCCGACAUCAGGUGACCCACCCACCUUGGCCUCCCAAAGUGCUGGGAUUACAGGCAUGAGCAACUGCGCCCAGCCUAGACGGAGUCUCGCUCUGUCACCCAAGCUGGAAUGCCGUGGCGCAAUCUUAGUUCACUGCAACCUCUGCCUCCUCGGUCCAAGCCAUUCUCCUGCC
rnacentral:lncRNA from 1 species